AGGGCACCACCAGGAGUGGAGCCUGCGGCUUAAUUUGACUCAACACGGGAGAACUCACCCGGCCAGGACACCGUAAGGAUUGACAGACUGAGAGCUCUUUCUUGAUUCGGUGGGUGGUGGUGCAUGGCCGUUCUUAGUUGGUGGAGUGAUUUGUCUGGUUAAUUCCGAUAACGAACGAGACUCUAGCCUGCUAAAUAGAUGGGCGAUCCCGUUGUGGGUCGACCCGAUUUGCUUCUUAGAGGGACAAGUGGCGUUCCUAGCCACGCGAAAUUGAGCAAUAACAGGUCUGUGAUGCCCUUAGAUGUCCGGGGCCGCACGCGCGCUACAAUGAGGGACGCAGUGUGCCCGCAAAGCCUGACCCGAAAGGGUUGGGUAAUCAUUUCAAUUUCCCUCGUAAUAGGGAUUGAGCAUUGUAACUAUUGCUCAUGAACGAGGAAUUUCCUAGUAAGCGCGAGUCAUAAGCUUGCGUUGACUACGUCCCUGCCCUUUGUACACACCGCCCGUCGCUUCUACCGAUUG
rnacentral:rRNA from 1 species